rnacentral:lncRNA from 1 species
CCAUUCGUUCCCCACACCAAAACCCUAGCUUCUUGGAGGCGGCGCAGGCAACGGCGCCGGCGCAAUCGACGGCGGCGGAAGACGGCGGAGCAGGGCGGCGGCGUAGGCGAAGGCGGCGGCGGAGCAGGGCGGCGGCGGAGGCUACGAUGGCCGAAGGCGGUGGCGCCGGAGCUCCUAGCGACAGCGCAGGCGACCGGCGGCGAGUACGACCUAGCGCGACGGCAAGGCGACGAUGGAAUCACCUCCUUCCUGGCGCGACAGCAAGGCGACGAUGGAAUCACCUUCUUCCAUCCCCACGCUGAAGUGUGCUUGCGGUGCCUCCGCCACUGUGCAGAUUUCGAACACGCCAAGGAAUCCUUGACGCCGGUGGCUACAAUGCGGCAAUUCGGCUCAACAUAUGCAUACAACAGUACAGACAUACAUGAGCAACAUUACUGGUUCAUAGCAGCCUUACUAGCAAAAUACUUAUGA